UACAGAGGGUGCGAGCGUUAAUCGGAAUUACUGGGCGUAAAGGGCGCGUAGGCGGCCUGUUAAGUCGAACGUGAAAUCCCCGGGCUCAACCCGGGAACUGCGUCCGAUACUGGCAGGCUUGAAUCCGGGAGAGGGAUGCGGAAUUCCAGGUGUAGCGGUGAAAUGCGUAGAUAUCUGGAGGAACACCGGUGGCGAAGGCGGCAUCCUGGACCGGCAUUGACGCUGAGGCGCGAAAGCCAGGGGAGCAAACGGG
rnacentral:rRNA from 1 species